rnacentral:tRNA from 1 species
GGAAGCGUGGAUGAGUGGUUUAAAUCAACGGUUUACUAAACCGUCGACGGGUAAAACUGUCCGUGAGUUCGAAUCUCACCGCUUCCG